AUCUAUAACGCAAUUUUUAAUUACAAACUAUGUGAAUGGUACAUUUGUUCAGUUCUGCACCCAUAAUUACAAUUGAGCACGGCUUUUUUCUCCAAUCAUAGGUUCGAAUGUUUUAAAAAUGAAGUUAAUUAUAUCUCUAUAUAUUUAUGUAUUAAUAUGUCUUUACUAUUAUUAAAAUUGCACUGCAGUUGUUAUAUAGGUUACCAUUCAGACUCAAAACCUAAGCUUAUAAUUUGGCAUAUUCCAACAAGUAGUUUUCACCCGUUACGAUAAAUUAAUAGAUCUUUAAAGUUAGGUGUAUGGAUCUAUUAGUAAUUUCUGGACAGAACUCAACUCCUCACUUUUUCUUUAUCUUUUCUUGAAAAUUAUCAGCUACUUACGUUGCAGAUAUAUCCAAAAUGCUAUCAUUAAAAGAAGUUGACUUAGAUAAACGUAACGGUAUUGCGCAGCCAUGUGUACGUUUGGUUACGCACUACUUCUGACGUCACAGCACAUCUUUUUUUUUUGAAAAUGUCACAGUACAUCUUACGUUAUCUUUGAUUAAAAUUAGUAUGAUUAUUAGGGGUGUACGUAGAUCGAAUACUACCAUAAUUCUUAGUAUUUCAGAUUUAUUUCGGAUUUUAUGAA